rnacentral:tRNA from 1 species
GGCAACGUAGCUCAGUUGGUUAGAGCGAGGGAAUCAUAACCCCUAGGUCACAGGUUCGAAUCCUGUCGUUGCCACCA